GGUCAAGUGAAGAAGCGCAUACGGUGGAUGCCUUGGCAGUCAGAGGCGAUGAAAGACGUGGUAGCCUGCGAAAAGCUUCGGGGAGUCGGCAAACAGACUGUGAUCCGGAGAUGUCUGAAUGGGGGAACCCAGCCAUCAUAAGAUGGUUAUCUUGUACUGAAUACAUAGGUGCAAGAGGCGAACCAGGGGAACUGAAACAUCUAAGUACCCUGAGGAAAAGAAAUCAACCGAGAUUCCCUUAGUAGUGGCGAGCGAACGGGGACUAGCCCUUAAGUGGCUUUGAGAUUAGCGGAACGCUCUGGAAAGGGCGGCCAUAGUGGGUGAUAGCCCUGUACGCGAAAAUCUCUUAGUCAUGAAAUCGAGUAGGACGGAGCACGAGAAACUUUGUCUGAAUAUGGGGGGACCAUCCUCCAAGGCUAAAUACUACUGACUGACCGAUAGUGAACUAGUACCGUGAGGGAAAGGCGAAAAGAACCCCGGAGAGGGGAGUGAAAUAGAUCCUGAAACCGUAUGCGUACAAGCAGUGGGAGCCCACUUUGUUGGGUGACUGCGUACCUUUUGUAUAAUGGGUCAGCGACUUAUUUUCAGUGGCGAGCUUAACCGAAUAGGGGAGGCGUAGCGAAAGCGAGUCUUAAUAGGGCGUCUAGUCGCUGGGAAUAGACCCGAAACCGGGCGAUCUAUCCAUGGGCAGGUUGAAGGUUGGGUAACACUAACUGGAGGACCGAACCGACUACCGUUGAAAAGUUAGCGGAUGACCUGUGGAUCGGAGUGAAAGGCUAAUCAAGCUCGGAGAUAGCUGGUUCUCCUCGAAAGCUAUUUAGGUAGCGCCUCAUGUAUCACUGUAGGGGGUAGAGCACUGUUUCGGCUAGGGGGUCAUCCCGACUUACCAAACCGAUGCAAACUCCGAAUACCUACAAGUGCCGAGCAUGGGAGACACACGGCGGGUGCUAACGUCCGUCGUGAAAAGGGAAACAACCCAGACCGUCAGCUAAGGUCCCAAAGUUAUGGUUAAGUGGGAAACGAUGUGGGAAGGCUUAGACAGCUAGGAGGUUGGCUUAGAAGCAGCCACCCUUUAAAGAAAGCGUAAUAGCUCACUAGUCGAGUCGGCCUGCGCGGAAGAUGUAACGGGGCUCAAACCAUACACCGAAGCUACGGGUAUCACUUAGGUGAUGCGGUAGAGGAGCGUUCUGUAAGCCUGUGAAGGUGAGUUGAGAAGCUUGCUGGAGGUAUCAGAAGUGCGAAUGCUGACAUGAGUAACGACAAUGGGUGUGAAAAACACCCACGCCGAAAGACCAAGGUUUCCUGCGCAACGUUAAUCGACGCAGGGUUAGUCGGUCCCUAAGGCGAGGCUGAAAAGCGUAGUCGAUGGAAAACAGGUUAAUAUUCCUGUACUUCUGGUUAUUGCGAUGGAGGGACGGAGAAGGCUAGGCCAGCUUGGCGUUGGUUGUCCAAGUUUAAGGUGGUAGGCUGGAAUCUUAGGUAAAUCCGGGAUUCUAAGGCCGAGAGCUGAUGACGAGUUACCCUUUGGGUGACGAAGUGGUUGAUGCCAUGCUUCCAAGAAAAGCUUCUAAGCUUCAGGUAACCAGGAACCGUACCCCAAACCGACACAGGUGGUUGGGUAGAGAAUACCAAGGCGCUUGAGAGAACUCGGGUGAAGGAACUAGGCAAAAUGGCACCGUAACUUCGGGAGAAGGUGCGCCGGUGAGGGUGAAGCACUUGCUGCGUAAGCCCACGCCGGUCGAAGAUACCAGGCCGCUGCGACUGUUUAUUAAAAACACAGCACUCUGCAAACACGAAAGUGGACGUAUAGGGUGUGACGCCUGCCCGGUGCCGGAAGGUUAAUUGAUGGGGUUAGCUAACGCGAAGCUCUUGAUCGAAGCCCCGGUAAACGGCGGCCGUAACUAUAACGGUCCUAAGGUAGCGAAAUUCCUUGUCGGGUAAGUUCCGACCUGCACGAAUGGCGUAACGAUGGCGGCGCUGUCUCCACCCGAGACUCAGUGAAAUUGAAAUCGCUGUGAAGAUGCAGUGUAUCCGCGGCUAGACGGAAAGACCCCGUGAACCUUUACUAUAGCUUUGCACUGGACUUUGAAUUUGCUUGUGUAGGAUAGGUGGGAGGCUUUGAAGCGUGGACGCCAGUUCGCGUGGAGCCAACCUUGAAAUACCACCCUGGCAACUUUGAGGUUCUAACUCAGGUCCGUUAUCCGGAUCGAGGACAGUGUAUGGUGGGUAGUUUGACUGGGGCGGUCUCCUCCUAAAGAGUAACGGAGGAGUACGAAGGUGCGCUCAGACCGGUCGGAAAUCGGUCGUAGAGUAUAAAGGCAAAAGCGCGCUUGACUGCGAGACAGACACGUCGAGCAGGUACGAAAGUAGGUCUUAGUGAUCCGGUGGUUCUGUAUGGAAGGGCCAUCGCUCAACGGAUAAAAGGUACUCCGGGGAUAACAGGCUGAUACCGCCCAAGAGUUCAUAUCGACGGCGGUGUUUGGCACCUCGAUGUCGGCUCAUCACAUCCUGGGGCUGAAGCCGGUCCCAAGGGUAUGGCUGUUCGCCAUUUAAAGUGGUACGCGAGCUGGGUUUAGAACGUCGUGAGACAGUUCGGUCCCUAUCUGCCGUGGACGUUUGAGAUUUGAGAGGGGCUGCUCCUAGUACGAGAGGACCGGAGUGGACGAACCUCUGGUGUUCCGGUUGUCACGCCAGUGGCAUUGCCGGGUAGCUAUGUUCGGAAAAGAUAACCGCUGAAAGCAUCUAAGCGGGAAACUUGCCUCAAGAUGAGAUCUCACUGGGACCUUGAGUCCCCUGAAGGGCCGUCGAAGACUACGACGUUGAUAGGUGGGGUGUGUAAGCGCUGUGAGGCGUUGAGCUAACCCAUACUAAUUGCCCGUGAGGCUUGACCAU
rnacentral:rRNA from 1 species